UAAGGCUUUGUGUUAAGUAGCAAACAUAUCAACCCUUAGAAAACAUUAUGGUCGUUUCUAGCUUCUUCUGUAAAUUGUUCAUUUUAGUGAUCAUGAUGGUAUCAUCAUGCCGUUUGAAUGGGUUACCUGAUUGCUUCCCUAUCCUUAACCGAAAGAAGCACCGUGGGUGAACAUCAAUUUUAUGGUGUUUUUAUAAAAUAAAUAAAGAGUGGUUUGUUUCGAACACUUCUGUUUUCAUCAUGAAAAAUGUACUCCUAUAACGUCCCAUUAAAACAAGAACAUGAAACUGAUAUGGAA